GAAAGCUGACACUAUUUGUGUUCUCCAAAAUAGUUGUGACUGAUCUUCAGUCCCCUUCAGGGUUGAUUUAGCCUUCAAAUGAGCCUGCCACUGAACAUCUGGCACCACAGCAAGAAUGCUGACACUAUUUGUGUUCUCCUCCAAAGUAGUUGUGACUGAUUUUGAGUCCACAUCAGGGUUGACUCGGACUUCAAGUGAGCCUACUACUGAACAUCGGGACCACAGCAAGAAAGCUGAUGGUAUUUGUGUUCUCCUUUAAAGUAGUUGUGACUGAUCUCGAGUCCCCUUCAGGGUUGACCCCACCUUCAAGUGAGCUUGCCACUGAACAUCUGGCACCACAGCAAGAAAGCUGACACUAUUCGUGUUCUCCAAAGUAGUUGUGACUGAUCUUGAGUCCACAUCAGGGUUGACUCGGCCUUCAAGUGAGCCUACUACUGAACAUCCAGGACCACAGCAAGAAAGCUGACAGUGUUUGUGUUCUCCUCCAAAAUAGUGUGAUUGAUCUUGAGUCCCCAUCAGGGUUGACUCUGCCUUUAGAUAAGCCUGCUACUAAACAUCUGGAACCACAGCAAGAAAGCUAACAGUAUUUGUUUUCUUCCCUAAAGCAAUUUUGACUGAUCUUGAGUCCCCAUCAGGGUUGACUCUCACUUCAAAUGAGCCUGCUACUGACCAUCAGGAACCACAGCAAGAAACCUGACAAUAUUCAUGUACUUACUUACUGUGGUUGUAGACAAAUGUGAUUGUAAGUUUAUUCCUAAUUAAAUAAAUUUUUAGUUGAUUUAAAA